rfam:Hordeum vulgare subsp. vulgare, WGS project CAJW01000000 data, contig: morex_contig_1558733
CAUAUACUCCUUUCGUCCGAAAAUACUUGUCGAAGGAAUGAGUAUAUGUAGAUGUAUUUUAUUUUUAGAUACAUCCAUUAUCGUCCAUUUUUGCGACAAUUAAUUCGGAACGAAGGGAGUACAAU